AAAUUGAAGAGUUUGAUCAUGGCUCAGAUUGAACGCUGGCGGCAGGCCUAACACAUGCAAGUCGAACGGUAACAGGAAACAGCUUGCUGUUUCGCUGACGAGUGGCGGACGGGUGAGUAAUGUCUGGGAAACUGCCUGAUGGAGGGGGAUAACUACUGGAAACGGUAGCUAAUACCGCAUAACGUCGCAAGACCAAAGAGGGGGACCUUCGGGCCUCUUGCCAUCGGAUGUGCCCAGAUGGGAUUAGCUAGUAGGUGGGGUAACGGCUCACCUAGGCGACGAUCCCUAGCUGGUCUGAGAGGAUGACCAGCCACACUGGAACUGAGACACGGUCCAGACUCCUACGGGAGGCAGCAGUGGGGAAUAUUGCACAAUGGGCGCAAGCCUGAUGCAGCCAUGCCGCGUGUAUGAAGAAGGCCUUCGGGUUGUAAAGUACUUUCAGCGGGGAGGAAGGGAGUAAAGUUAAUACCUUUGCUCAUUGACGUUACCCGCAGAAGAAGCACCGGCUAACUCCGUGCCAGCAGCCGCGGUAAUACGGAGGGUGCAAGCGUUAAUCGGAAUUACUGGGCGUAAAGCGCACGCAGGCGGUUUGUUAAGUCAGAUGUGAAAUCCCCGGGCUCAACCUGGGAACUGCAUCUGAUACUGGCAAGCUUGAGUCUCGUAGAGGGGGUAGAAUUCCAGGUGUAGCGGUGAAAUGCGUAGAGAUCUGGAGGAAUACCGGUGGCGAAGGCGGCCCCCUGGACGAAGACUGACGCUCAGGUGCGAAAGCGUGGGGAGCAAACAGGAUUAGAUACCCUGGUAGUCCACGCCGUAAACGAUGUCGACUUGGAGGUUGUGCCCUUGAGGCGUGGCUUCCGGAGCUAACGCGUUAAGUCGACCGCCUGGGGAGUACGGCCGCAAGGUUAAAACUCAAAUGAAUUGACGGGGGCCCGCACAAGCGGUGGAGCAUGUGGUUUAAUUCGAUGCAACGCGAAGAACCUUACCUGGUCUUGACAUCCACGGAAGUUUUCAGAGAUGAGAAUGUGCCUUCGGGAACCGUGAGACAGGUGCUGCAUGGCUGUCGUCAGCUCGUGUUGUGAAAUGUUGGGUUAAGUCCCGCAACGAGCGCAACCCUUAUCCUUUGUUGCCAGCGGUCCGGCCGGGAACUCAAAGGAGACUGCCAGUGAUAAACUGGAGGAAGGUGGGGAUGACGUCAAGUCAUCAUGGCCCUUACGACCAGGGCUACACACGUGCUACAAUGGCGCAUACAAAGAGAAGCGACCUCGCGAGAGCAAGCGGACCUCAUAAAGUGCGUCGUAGUCCGGAUUGGAGUCUGCAACUCGACUCCAUGAAGUCGGAAUCGCUAGUAAUCGUGGAUCAGAAUGCCACGGUGAAUACGUUCCCGGGCCUUGUACACACCGCCCGUCACACCAUGGGAGUGGGUUGCAAAAGAAGUAGGUAGCUUAACCUUCGGGAGGGCGCUUACCACUUUGUGAUUCAUGACUGGGGUGAAGUCGUAACAAGGUAACCGUAGGGGAACCUGCGGUUGGAUCACCUCCUUACCUUAAAGAAGC
rnacentral:rRNA from 1 species